CUAACCACUGAAUACACUGUGGAAAAUUAUGUAUUCAGUUGUUCGCACCUUUCCCCUUUAGCAACUGAAUGCACUGGAGGCAAAAGGAAGAAUGGGAAGAUAAAAAACUAGCACUUUUGUCUUGAGUCAUCUCGGCCCUUGUUACUAUAUCCAGAGUUGAGUUCCCUGUUAGUGGAGGUGCUCCAGAAUAAAAUGAACAAGGGUUUGGCUGGCAAGAGGGCCAUAGACAAGAUCUAAAUAUCAUAUGCAUGGCUGGACUCAAUCCAUGUAAUCAUUAAUUUUGCAGGCACCUACUGUGUACCUUCUACCAGACACUGUGACAGGAUGCAUAUGGCAUUGUUGUAGCUUCAAGGAGCUCACUACGUCAAAGGAUCUGAAUGUGACCAUAUGAGUAAAACAGCCAUGAUCAUCUUCCCAGUGGAAAGGCCACCAGUAGUUAACAGUUUUGAAUCAACAAUACACCUGCAAAUGAGGACUGAAACAGUACACAGAUCUCAGCAGUGGAAUCAUUUCUUCAAAACUAAAUAUUAUGUAGUUAUGAUAUAAGGAUUGUGGUAAUCAUAAAAAGGUAACCAGAAAUUCAUC
rnacentral:lncRNA from 10 species